AUGUUAUUUAUUUAUUUAUUUAAAACCACCCAACAAAAAUCAAAUAAUUGAUGCAAUUCCAUGAAAACAAAAUUGAUUUGCUGGCAUGCAAUAAAAUUCACAUUUCUUCCUUAAUUUUGUCUUCCUUUUUUUACCUCUGACUUUCUUAUUACAUCAAUACACCAUCGUCGGUACCUAACGAAACAAUUUCAUCAAUCCAUUUUCAUGCUCUCACCUUGGUCGCACAAUUUGCAAAAGAUGUAUUGAGAAGGGCCCUUGAUGAUACUUAUCCAUCUAACACUCUUUUUAUUUAGUCUCUUCAAGUUGACACACGUUACUAAAUUACUUACUUUCAGAAAAUCUUAGUGACGUGUUGGUGCAAAGAUGAUGAGAGUCAUCUUCAUCAUUUUGCCAUUUUAGAAAAGUAGCAAAAUGAGGAGGGAUAUAACCUUCACUUUGUUAUACCCCUGGCUUGAACGUGUGCAGCUUAGAAGGCACUCUUGGAUGGCUCUUCAUCUUAUUCCAUGUAGUGGUCGUCCAAUUGGUCACGAAUUCAUGACUAGCCAUCCGCUACAUACUGUUUAUGGGGAUCACUAAAAAAUAACAACCUCGUACUACGUCAGCAAAAGGAAUGUCAGAGCAAGACUACACAAUACUAUGCUUGACAACAAUAGAUAUAUAACAAACAUGUUACCUAGCCGACCACACGAGCGGGCCACCAUCUCUAUUGUCGAUGACAUGACAAUAUCAAACAAGGGGGCCUCCCCC
rnacentral:lncRNA from 1 species